ACACCCUUAGCUCAGCUGGCAGAGCAACUGACUCUUAAUCAGUAGGUCCAGGGUUCGAGCCCCUGAGGGUGUACCA
rnacentral:tRNA from 1 species